CGGCGGGCGGGCACCGGAUCGGGUCGGUGGCUGGGGCUGGUCGCCGCCACGGGAGAGGGUCACAGCCCACGGGAGGCUCCUCCCGCGGGUGCCUGGCGCUUGUUACACUCUACGUUCCUCGAGAGCCUGCGGGCGCAGGUCGGGCCCAGUUCUCCAGAAUGACAGCUCCCAAGAGUGAUGUAGACCAGGUAGCUGGACCAACAACCAUUAAGACUGUCAGAGAAGCUCAGCUCUGGGUCCCUCCUUAUAAGCUGUGAACAGAAAACGUGCAAACCUAGAGGGGAAAGGAAAGGGCUGCUGGAGUUGGCACUUUUUUUCAACAGUCUUCCACCUACAGGAUGAAAGUGACUCCUGGUACUACUGGCAAAACUAAGGCCUGAGAGGCUUGCAUAAGCCACCCCAGCCAAAGAGACAUUCCGCUGCAGCCCCAGCUGUGUUGUCUCUUGUCCUGAUGUGGCUGUUUACUGAUGUUACUGAUUAGCUGUGUCCUCCAUUAUGCUUUCUUUGCUCCCAGGAUGUGAAACAGGCUGACGCCUAAGCCCUGCCUCCCAG
rnacentral:lncRNA from 1 species